rnacentral:lncRNA from 1 species
UUUUGUUCUGUUUUGUCCUAACCUGUCUUGUGUUUCCAUGGCAUUGUUUUCUCUUGUUUUCAUCCUGUUACUCUAACCUUUUGUCGAGUUUUUGUGAGGGCUCACAUACUCUUGCAGGGAUGCCAUCUGGAGGUUUAUCCCGAUUACCCGUACUGACUGACUUUUUUGAUGAUCUAGCUGGAGGGGUUUCAGAGUUGCUUAUCCCUUUAAUUGCUGUAGCUUCGGAUCUUCAUCCGUG